rnacentral:tRNA from 1 species
GCCAUCGUAGCUCAGUGGUAGAGCACACCCAUGGUAAGGGUGGGGUCAUGGGUUCAAUCCCCAUCGAUGGCUCCA